rnacentral:misc_RNA from 1 species
GAUGAAGAACGCAGUGAAAUGCGAUAAGUAAUGUGAAUUGCAGAAUUCAGUGAAUCAUCGAAUCUUUGAACGCACAUUGCGCCCUUUGGUAUUCCUUAGGGCAUGCCUGUUCGAGCGUCAUUAUAACCACUCAAGCUCUCGCUUGGUAUUGGGGUUCGCGGUUUCGCGGCCCCUAAAAUCAGUGGCGGUGCCUGUCGGCUCUACGCGUAGUAAUACUUCUCGCGAUUGAGUUCGAUAGGUCUACUUGCCAGUAACCCCCAAUUUUUACAGGUUGACCUCGGAUCAGGUAGGGAUACCCGCUGAACUUAAGCAUAUCAAUAAGCGGAGGA